GCCAGACCUGACUGCUAUCGGAUUGAUACUAAGCCAUGCGAGUCAUUGUAGCAAUACAAGGCAUACGGCUCAGUAACGCGUAGUCAACCUAACCUAUGGACGGGAAUAACCUCGGGAAACUGAGAAUAAUGCCCGAUAGAACAUUAUACCUGGAAUGGUUUAUGUUCCAAAUGAUUUAUCGCCGUAGGAUGGGACUGCGGCCUAUCAGUUUGUUGGUGAGGUAAUGGCCCACCAAGACUAUUACAGGUACGGGCUCUGAGAGGAGUAGCCCGGAGAUGGGUACUGAGACACGGACCCAGGCCCUAUGGGGCGCAGCAGGCGAGAAAACUUUGCAAUGUGCGAAAGCACGACAAGGUUAAUCCGAGUGAUUUCUGCUAAAGAAAUCUUUUGUUAGUCCUAGAAACACUAACGAAUAAGGGGUGGGCAAGUUCUGGUGUCAGCCGCCGCGGUAAAACCAGCACCUCAAGUGGUCAGGAUGAUUAUUGGGCCUAAAGCAUCCGUAGCCGGCUCUGUAAGUUUUCGGUUAAAUCUGUACGCUUAACGUACAGGCCGCCGGGAAUACUGCAAAGCUAGGGAGUGGGAGAAGUAGACGGUACUCGGUAGGAAGUGGUAAAAUGCUUUGAUCUAUCGAUGACCACCUGUGGCGAAGGCGGUCUACUAGAACACGUCCGACGGUGAGGGAUGAAAGCUGGGGGAGCAAACCGGAUUAGAUACCCGGGUAGUCCCAGCUGUAAACUAUGCAAACUCAGUGAUGCAUUGGCUUGUGGCCAAUGCAGUGCUGCAGGGAAGCCGUUAAGUUUGCCGCCUGGGAAGUACGUACGCAAGUAUGAAACUUAAAGGAAUUGGCGGGGGAGCACCACAAGGGGUGAAGCCUGCGGUUCAAUUGGAUUCAACGCCGGG
rnacentral:rRNA from 1 species